CUGCUCUACAGCACGUCCAGCUCGUCCCUCGGGAGCAUCUAUCUCCGACCUGACUGCUGGCUGCCAGCGCUACCUGCCUCUGUGCGCAGUGCAUCUGCCAGCCGGGGCGUCUCCACCCUCCCAGGGAGUGUCUGGCAUCCGAGGCAGAGAACUUGCUAGAGCAGCUGCAAGACAACUUUCAAGCUUUGACUGCGGAGUUAUCCCUGAGAAUGGAUGAAAUGGGCGAGCGAAUCAGUGACCUGGAAAAGCAUGUCACUGACCUAAUGGCACAAGCUGGGAUAGAAAAUACCAAUGGGAGACUUGAUGAACCGAAAAUGAGAGUCUAGCGACCAAGAAAGAUAGGUCAAAAUCUGUGCUGCACUGAGUCUGGAAAGACAAAGAUCAUCUAUCAACAGAUUUCUACAAAUGUGUUAAGUGAAAAGCAAUAUCAAACUCUGUAAAGGACUUUACAUGGUGUAUUUUCAUUUUAUGAUCAUGCACAAUGAUUGAUACCUGAAAUAUCUAUUUGUAAUAAGUAAAAUAUACAAACCUACAUAAUGAGCAACUCCAGUGAAAGAAAAGAAUAUAUGAAUAUAAGUUCUUAGGCAUGUGAAGACUCCAUUCUUUUUUAUUUUUGCUCUAGUAAAAGGGUAAAAUAUUAAGUUUGUGACUAUCUCAUAAGUGACACAUUUUACUUUUUUGGAGGAGAAAUGCUAUUUUUAAAAAAUACAGCAAUUGUAGGGGGCACAAAAUUGCUGUACCCAUACCAUAAUCUAAUGAAUUUUCUCAGCCAUGACAUUUUUUAAAUAAAGGAUUAAAUAAAAAGUUGUACA
rnacentral:lncRNA from 1 species